rnacentral:rRNA from 1 species
AAGGGGACGAUNNNUAGGGGUCCUGAAGAGGNNNAUCCCCCCACACUGGUNNUGAGACACGGACCAGACUCCUACGGGAGGCAGCAGUGAGGAAUAUUGGUCAAUGGGCGCAAGCCUGAACCAGCCAUGCCGCGUGCAGGAUGACGGUCCUAUGGAUUGUAAACUGCUUUUGUACGGGAAGAAACACUCCUUCGUGAAGGAGCUUGACGGUACCGUAAGAAUAAGGAUCGGCUAACUCCGUGCCAGCAGCCGCGGUAAUACGGAGGAUCCAAGCGUUAUCCGGAAUCAUUGGGUUUAAAGGGUCCGUAGGCGGUCUUGUAAGUCAGUGGUGAAAGCCCAUCGCUCAACGGUGGAACGGCCAUUGAUACUGCAGGACUUGAAUUAUUGGGAAGUAACUAGAAUAUGUAGUGUAGCGGUGAAAUGCUUAGAGAUUACAUGGAAUACCAAUUGCGAAGGCAGGUUACUACCAAUUUAUUGACGCUGAUGGACGAAAGCGUGGGUAGCGAACAGGAUUAGAUACCCUGGUAGUCCACGCCGUAAACGAUGGAUACUAGCUGUUGGGGGCAACUUCAGUGGCUAAGCGAAAGUGAUAAGUAUCCCACCUGGGGAGUACGUUCGCAAGAAUGAAACUCAAAGGAAUUGACGGGGGCCCGCACAAGCGGUGGAGCAUGUGGUUUAAUUCGAUGAUACGCGAGGAACCUUACCAAGGCUUAAAUGCAGACUGACCGAUUUGGAAACAGAUCUUUCGCAAGACAGUUUACAAGGUGCUGCAUGGUUGUCGUCAGCUCGUGCCGUGAGGUGUCAGGUUAAGUCCUAUAACGAGCGCAACCCCUGUUGUUAGUUGCCAGCGAGUAGUGUCGGGAACUCUAACAAGACUGCCAGUGCAAACUGUGAGGAAGGUGGGGAUGACGUCAAAUCAUCACGGCCCUUACGCCUUGGGCUACACACGUGCUACAAUGGCCGGUACAGAGAGCAGCCACCUCGCGAGGGGGAGCGAAUCUAUAAAGCCGGUCACAGUUCGGAUCGGAGUCUGCAACUCGACUCCGUGAAGCUGAAUCGCUAGUAAUC